rnacentral:rRNA from 1 species
AGCGAACGCUGGCGGCAGGCCUAACACAUGCAAGUCGAACGAACUCUUCGGAGUUAGUGGCGGACGGGUGAGUAACACGUGGGAACGUGCCUUUAGGUUCGGAAUAGCUCCUGGAAACGGGUGGUAAUGCCGAAUGUGCCCCUUCGGGGGGAAAGAUUUAUCGCCUUUAGAGCGGCCCGCGUCUGAUUAGCUUGUUGGUGGGGUAAUGGCCCACCAAGGCUACGAUCAGUAGCUGGUCUGAGAGGAUGACCAGCCACAUUGGGACUGAGACACGGCCCAAACUCCUACGGGAGGCUG